rnacentral:rRNA from 1 species
GUGCGAAAACUCCACAAUGCACGAAAGUGUGAUGGGGCUAUCCCGAGUGCUGUCCGCUGAGGACAGCUUUUUCUAUGCUGUAAGGAGGCGUGGGAAUAAGGAGAGGGCAAGCCUGGUGUCAGCCGCCGCGGUAAUACCAGCUCUCCGAGUGGUAGGGAUGUUUAUUGGGCUUAAAGCGUCCGUAGCCGGCUCUUCAAGUCUUUCGUUAAAACCAGCGAUUUAAUCGUUGGACUGCGAGAGAUACUGCUGGGCUAGGGGGCGGGAGAAGUCGACGGUAUUUCCGGGGUAGGAGUGAAAUCCUAUAAUCCCGGGAGGACCACCAGUGGCGAAGGCGGUCGACUAGAACGCGCUCGACGGUGAGGGACGAAAGCUGGGGGAGCGAACCGGAUUAGAUACCCGGGUAGUCCCAGCUGUAAACGAUGCGAGCUAGGUGUUAGGGUGGCCACGAGCCGCUCUAGUGCCGCAGGGAAACCGUUAAGCUCGCCGCCGUGGGGAGUACGGCCGCAAGGCUGAAACGUUAAAGGAAUUGGCGGGGGAGCGACCAACG